UUCCAAGACCCUCUUCCCCACCUGGAACCAGAUGCUGCUGUUAAAUGACUUGGUGCUUUAUGGAGACCAGAGGAGUUAAUGGAGUCCCUGCCUUUAGUGGUGGUGGAGCUGUAUGACAACAACACAGUGGUUGGGAAUCUCUUCAGACUUGCCUUCUGCAAAUCACUGGGUACGGAAACCUUACUGCAGUUGUGGAAAAACUGCACAGAAAAUCCUGUGAUUCUGAUAAUGCCCAACGUGAAGAAAUGCUUUUGAAGCAGAACCAGGACUCUCAGAUUGGUUCCCAAGGAACUUCCUUUGCUCCCAGACCAUGAAGUUCUCCCUCAUCUUGUCCCU